CCAUGGAUCUCCAGGUGGGU
rnacentral:miRNA from 17 species